UACGUAGGGAGCAAGCGUUGUUCGGAUUUACUGGGCGUAAAGGGCGCGUAGGCGGCAAUUCAAGUCAUCUGUGAAAUCUCCGGGCUUAACUCGGAACGGUCAGAUGAUACUGCUUUGCUAGAGUGUAGAAGGGGCAAUCGGAAUUCUCGGUGUAGCGGUGAAAUGCGUAGAUAUCGAGAGGAACACCAGAGGUGAAGACGGGUUGCUGGGCUGACACUGACGCUGAGGCGCGAAAGCCAGGGGAGCAAACGGG
rnacentral:rRNA from 1 species